rnacentral:rRNA from 1 species
GAAAGUGGAUCACUAAGGAGCGCGGAGGUCGAGAGGUGUAUUAGAGAGGUCAUGGAUGGGGAGAGGAAGGACGACUACAAAAGGAAUGCAAUGAAGUUGAUGCAAAAGGUCAAGGAGGCAAUACAAGAAGGGGGAAGCUCAGACAAGCAUAUUGUUGAAUUCGCUGCCAAGUAUUCGUCAAUUUCAAUUUUCAACAAUGUAAUCUUUAUUUCAAAAUAAGCAAGUAGGC